ACUAGCGAGAGGUGUUCAGCUACAUCAGACAUCAGACAUCAGACACGCAAGAUGAAGAGGCCUCUUCGUUCAAGGCAAGAAAAUAGUAGAAGCUUUGAUCUGAAGAGGAAGACGAAGCAAGCGACGACGAGAGUCCGCCAAGCCCAACGGAAAAGCAGUCCCUACUCCGACGAUCGCCCCAACCGCAGUGAAUUUCUCGAAGACUCUUGUAGAAAAAAGAAGUAUGAAGUGUUGAAGCCUCUGGUGUUGUUCUUGUUGAAAUCCCACUAGUACACAGCAGAGAAAGAAAUUUAACGAGAUUGUGAGCGAAUGACUUCAAAUUAUGAGAAAGUUUUUUUAUUAGGUAAUGUAUAAUUUCAUUGUUUCUUCCAAUUAUAUUCUGGUAUGUUCCUUUAUUAUAUUUUGUAUUUAUUAUGAUUAUGAUUUUAUUUUAUUUUAUUUAUUUUAAAAAGAUGUUGCAAAGAGUUUAACCAUUAGAUAUAAUCUCGCGGGGAGACUUGACUACUGGACAUUUCAUGCUUUGACAACUUGGUCUAACUUGACAAACGAAGAUCAAUUUUUAGUGACUAUACAAUUUUAUAAAAUGCAAGCAGAAACUAAGGCAGUUCAUAGAAUUCUCUAAUUAGUGCGUAAUCCCAAUAUAGUCAAUGUUUUGGACUUUGAUGUAGACUACCGAAACGACUAUACUGUUAUAAUAUUUAAAAGAUUUAAGCUAAACUUCAAUGAUUGGUUGAACAUGCAAUCGAAUAUUUGUGAGUAUAAUUCUAACGGCACAAUAGUCAUUUACAUGACAAAAGAAUUCUUUACCUCAUUCAAAUAAUGCAAUGUUUAUUAAAUUUUAUAGUUUGUUAUAUAUUUAAGUAAGACUAGUUGUUUCUUUCAUUAAUUUCUUUUUUAUUUUAUUUUAUUUUUAAAAAAUGACUUUUUUGUUUGAUUUUUUAUAUGGUUAUGUACGUAUUUAUUUAAUUUCAAAGAUCAUAAAUGGUAUUUGAGCUCUUCAUUACCAAGGACUAUACCAUGACAACUUAAUAAACGGUGUUACAAUGUCAAACAUCAGUGACAUUAAACUUGUGAACUUUAAGUAUAAGCAAGGUAUAGGUAUAUUAAAUUUAUAAAAUAUGUUUUGAAUUAAUCUCCUAUAUAUUUACCUUAUUUUCUAGAUUUGCUGCAUAAAUAUAUAUAUGUAUCAUGCAUGCUAUAAUUGAUUUCGAAUAAGGGAUGAAGAAAGAUUUUGAUGAUCGCAAGUUUUUGAUAUUGCAAGUUGUAGAAAUGUAUCCCAUUAAAGAUGAUAAUGAGAAUGAACCUGUUGGUUUAUCUCUCUUUCUUCAGCUUGAAAAUGAAUUAUCUGAUCUAAGUAUAAAUAGUGGCAUAAGUUAUUAAAUUUUUUUUAAACAUAAUUUUUGCCCUCUUUUGCUCGAAGCAAAAAAAUACUGAUUCUGUUGAUUUUUGUAUUUUUUUAUAUUUAUUUUGUAGAACGUAUGCUUAUUUCAUGUACCACAAUCGCUUGUUCGAUAAUGGGAAUUAUCGUUAUAACAUGAUCCAUAAGUCAUGGGAUUAUAGCAUGGUUAAUAGGGAUAGUUUUUGUACUAUGAUGAUAUUAUACGAUGACACCUCAUACAUGAUCAUUUGGUGGAUGAGGGUAUCGACAUAUUUUAUAUUUUACAAGUUUACGAAUAAGGAGAAACUAAAUAUCGAUACCCAACAGGCUAUUAGAGUUUUGUCUUUUUUGAGAGAUGCCUAUUCUCAUUUUGGAAAGGUAAAUUUGUACUUUUUAAAUUGUUUAUGGUUAUUAAUUUUUAUUUUUGACUUUUAUUUUAUUUGAUAACGUACAAAACAGUAGAAUUGACGAAUCAACAAUAGAAAAGUUCUUGAAUAAAUUGUUUCCUGAUUUCAUUUCGAAAUUAUAUUUUGAAUUUGUCAAAAAGAUAGCUUGUAGAUACUCAAUCAUGUAUGGGUAAACAAAUAUUGUUUAUAUUAUUUACUUGUUAGUUGUUAGUCUAAAUUGGUUCACCGACUUAUUGUUUGUGCUGUUUCUUUCUUUGUUUCUUACUAGUAGUAACUUCUUUCUUUCUCACUCCCACACUCUGUGUUCUGUGAAGCAAAAUUUCAUAAACUCUUCCUAUGGGAAGGAAGGAAACCCGGUUCGGAAAUGGGACAAUUUCAUACCUUUAUAAAGAAAGAAACAACGUAAACAAUAAGUCGGUGAACCUAUUUGGACUAACAAGUAAAUAAUGUGAACAUUAUUUGCUUACUUAGAUAUGGUUGAGUAUCGACAAGCUAUCUUUUUGACGAACUCAAAAUAUAAUUUUGGGAUGGCAUCAGGAAACAAUUUGUUCAAGUACCUUUCUAUUGUUGAUUCGUCAAUUCCAUUGUUCUGUACGUUAUCAAAUAAAAUUAAGCAGUCAAAAAUAAAAAUUAAUAACUAUUAGUAAUUUAAAAAAUACAAAUUUACCUUUCUAAAAUGAGGGUAGACAUCUCUCAAAAAAGAUAAAAAUCAAACAUCCCGUUAGUAUCGAUCUUGGGUUUUCACCUUAUUUGUAAACUUGUGAAAUAUAAAAUCUGCCGGUACCCUCGUCCACUAAUUGAUCAUGUAUCCAGUGUCCUUGUUUAAUGUCAUCAUGGUACAUAAAUUACUCUUAUUAAUCAUGCUAUAAUCCCAAAACUUAUGGAUCAUGUUAUAACGAUCAUUCCCAUCAUCGAACAAGGGAUUGUGGUACAUGAAGUAAGCAUAUGUUUUACAAAAUAAAUAUAAAAAACACAAAAAUUAACCAAAUCAGUAGUUUUUGCUUUGAACAAGAGGAGGCAAAAAUUAGGUUUAAAAAAAGUUUAGUACCUUGAGCCACCAUUUAUACUUAGACCAGGGAAUUCAUUUUCAAGAUGAAAAAAGAGAGAUAAAGCAACAGGUUCAUCCUCACUACCAUCUUUAGUGAGAUAUUAUUUUACAACUUGCAAUACCAAAAACUUGAGAUCAUCAAGAUCUUUCUUCAUUCCGUAUUCGAAAUCAACUAUAGCAUGCAUAAUACAUAUAUAUUUAAGCAGCAAAUCUAGAAAAUGGAGUAAAUAUAUAGGAUACUAGUUCAAAAUAUAUUUUAUAAGUUUAGUAUACCUAUAUCUUGCUUAUAGUUAAAGUUUGCUAGUUUAAUGGUACUGGUUUCUGACACUAUAACACCGUUUAUUAAGUUGUCAUGGUAUAGUCCUUAGUAAUGAAGAGCUCAAAUGCCAUUUGUGAUCCCUGAAAUUAUAUAAAUACGUACAUAAACCACAUGAAAAAUCAAGCAAAAAAGUCAAUUUUUUUAAAUAAAAUAAAACAAAAAAAGAAAUUAAUGAAAGAAACAACCAGUCUUGUUUAAAUUUAUAACAAAUUGUAAAAUUUAAUAAACAUUGUUUUACUUAAAUGGGUAAGGAAUUCUUUAGUCAUGGAAAUGACUAUUGUGCCAUUAGAAUUAUACUACUAAAUAUUCAAUUGCAUGUUCAACCAAUCGUUGAAUCUUUCAAAUAUUAUGGCAAUAUAGCCAUUUUGAUAGUCUACAUCCAAGUCCAAAAUAUUGGCUAUAUUAGGAUUGUGCAUUGAUUGGAGAAUUUUCUGAACUAUCUCAGCUUCUGCUUGCAUUUUAUAAAAUCGUAUAGUCACUGGAAAUUGAUUUCCGUUUGUCAAGUUAGACCAAGUUGUUAAAUCAUGGAAUGUCCGGUAGUCAACUCUUCCCGCGAGACGAUAUCUAAUGGUUAAACUUUUUGCAUCUUUUUAAAAUAAAAUAAAUAAAAUAAAAUCAUAAUCAUAAUAAAUACAUAAAUAUAAAAAAGAAACAUACCAGAAUACAAUUGGAAGAAAAAAUGAGAUUAUACAUUACCCGGUAAAACUCUCUUAUAAUUUGAAGUUAUUGUCUCACAAUAUGUCACCCCCAGUCUCUGAAACUCCAAAGUUCCUACUUGAUGGUGUUUGGGAAAUACUUAUUCAGGAAUGGUUCCUUGAAUUGCUCCCAAGUCAAGGUUGAAAUGUCGCAAGUACUUUUCAUCAGUGAUCAUCUUCAUCAUCCAAUUCAUAUACAGCUAGGGCAAUUCAGUCGGCAUGUUCGGUAAUUCCCAUUGUAUCCAACAUUUUCUCGAUCUAGCGGAGCCAAUUCUUCUCUACCCACGGGUUUGGUAUGUGAUUUCGUGUAUCCAUCGUCUAUUGCAUGCUUUAUUGUUUCAAACACCCUAGGAUAAUUGAACUUUAACUUCAAGAUUAAUUAAAUUACUCUUGAGGAAUCGCCUCUGUAAGUAGAACACAAUUUACACCUCACCAAAUUAUGAACAGAAUGGUGGAUAUUCGUGCCAACGGCUACCCAGGGCUACCAAAAAAUGAGCAAUAACAACCAGGGCUGUGAACAGCAACGCAGAAAUGCUGUACCUAGGAACCAUUACAUAGAGGAUGGGCCAAUGUCUGCAAGAAUUGAAAUCCCUAAUCAUUUUGGAACCUAGAUUUUGGAAGAAUUGGGACAGUUAAGAGGGAAUAGGCAGGAUAGUAGAAUCCAUUUUUUCUUGGAGUUUAGAAAGUACUACACAUAUAUUGGCACAUAAGUUUACAACACAUCACUAGGGGUUCCUGAUUACAAAUCUAAGCCUGGUGGUUUUUGGACUAGUCGAGGCCCUCUUUUGGGUCGUUUUCCUGAGAUGAGGUAAUUGCUUGCCCAGUGUUAUUAAAGGCAAUAGGCGCACCAAAGGCGCCAAGGUCUCCUGGGGCAUAGGCUCAAGGCGAGGCACAGGCUUCACCGAAGUGAGGCGCACUUUGUACGGGAAAAAAAAAAUAUAAUUUAAUAUAAGUAAAUAAUUUAGGGUUCAACAUAAAUAAAAUGAAAUGUUAUACAUUUAGUGUUUUUUGAAGAUUAUGAAUUAGGGCUAAUUUUUCUUCUAUAAUUGAUUAGGGGUUGAAUACUUAAUGUAUUGGCAUCUGUAAUAAGAGUAGGGAUCUUAUGUAGUUGCACCAUAUUAAAUCAAUGGUUCGAUUUUAAACAAAACCAAUUAAAGCAAGCCUUGGGCCAAUUAGGCACCUUAUCACAGUUGUCUGGCCUGGAACGCUACAAGGCAUAAACCUUGGCCUGGGCGGGACUUGGGCCUAGGCGCAUGCCUAGGCGCGCCUUUAAUAACACUGUUGUUGCCCCGACGUGAAGCAUGGUGACCCCUGCGCAUCUCCUACUCUUGAUACUCGGGGGCAUGAUCAAAAGGGAAGCUCAAUUAAUCUAGUUGGGCGGAACCCUAGUUCAAGUGCUACCUUCGGAUAAUAAAAGUCCCAGCUCUCAGCUUGUGGAAUGUGCCAAAAUCGUAGCCCGUUCUAUAGUGCCUCGAAAGUUAUUUCUAUAAAUAUUUGGUCGUCUUUCUCAGGCUCAAGUGCAUGCUGGGGGCCCGAUACUGACUCUUGAGUUGGCGUCGGAUCAUGGCCCUCUUUUGAUCGGGGUGAGAUAGGGAUGCACUUCCUCCAACUUUUUUACCUCUUCGAUUAACCUUUCCUUUCCCGCUCUUACACCCGAGGUCAUAAACUUGCUGGUCAAGAAGUUCAAUGCGUUGUUUCCCUUGAAAGCGGUAAUAACCCCCGAGGUCGUGGUACAAGACGUUUGGCGGGUUAUUGGCCAUCCUACGUUAAAGGAAAUCUCUUAUUAGUCUCUUGUUAAUAUUAAAUAAAAGUGUUACAGUAAUGCAUUAGUGUAUAAGGAAAAAGGUAACUAGAGUGCCAAAUCAAGUUACACAGGUUAAGGGUUAAACUUAAGCUCUGAUACUAAGUCGUGGCGCCUCAAAUCUAAGGUUUGAGGUCAAGGCAACGCCACUAAAGAGUUCUUUGGUCAAUAACCAAGUAAGAUCUCCGGAAGGUCAUAGGAGUCAAUAUAGCUUUCAUUUUAAGUCCACCACUUUAGAUAGUAAGUUAUUUUUUUGACAAAUCUUAAGAAGUGAUAUUCACACAAGAUCUCAUAUGUAAUGCGGAUAUAGGUAUAGGAUUACAAAAAGAUUUAUGUAUAUAAGCAAAUCAUAAUUGCAGAGUUACAAAUUUUAAUUACAAAACAAGUUCCAUCAUGAUGACAAUCCCAAAAAGAAAAUAAAAGCACGGAUGGACUUGUAACAAAAUGGCUUCUAACUUCGUUUAAGAUAGCCAGAAAUCUUCAAAUGCCUUCGGCUCCUCGUCAGCCCCUUUCGACACCUGCAUGAAAUGCCAUGAGUUUGGAAUGCCCAGUAAAUGCAUACACAUCCCUUCCUUUUUUCCCAAUCCAAUACGCUUACAAGUAUACAACUAAAUAUUUUAAACAUGAUGAACAAGUAAACAAUUAGAGAGUUACAAGGUUAGGUGCCUACAUUUAGAAAUCCUUCAAAGAGAUUUCAUCCUCCCAACCACAAGAAUCGAACUUGGUUUAUUUGGUAGGUCUCCUCUUUUGUUGCUUUGUAGACUUUACCCUGGAUGCCUACAAUUGUUACAUACCGUGUAGCGCCAACUAAGGACUUCAAAAGAGACGGUAAAAGGGCCUUGCCCAUUCCUUCCUUACACCAAGCUCCUAGGGUCCGAAUAUAACCAAUUCAUUCAAUGGUUUUGAAAUACCACUUGCGCAAGACUUUACUUCAAAUAGGGAACACGUCUCGCCAACCAAUUCAAUUCAAAUACAACAUUAUCUCAUAACAUUAUUCAAUUGAUCGAAACGCAGUUACCAUCCCAAUUAAGUUUCCCGUUGAGUUAGAUGCUUUAAAUUAAAGUUAGAACAAAUUUAUUAAGAUAAUAAUUUCUAUAUAAGCAUGUGUAUCACCAAGGGACUAUUGUAAGGAACGUAAUUAUAACACAUGCAAAUAUCAUAUCAAGACAUGAACAAGUGAUAAUAAGCACAUGCAUGAAGUUAAGAACAUAAAUUCAUCAGCAAAAGUAAAUUUUCAAAUUUGGUGCACUUUAAAUAUUGCAAUUAAAGAGACAUUUUUAAAUUUUUCCUAAACCUCGCCUUUCCGUAGUUUGUAGAAAAUUUUAUCUACUUUUUAGAAUAUUUUUCAGAAGUGGCAUAGCUUUCCUAGAUUUUUAGUUAUUUAAGAAAUACUUCAAUGCUGUCUAGAUUCGUCAACUGUUACGAAAAUCGGGUUUUCCCUCAAACCGCUCACUCUUUUUCGAUAAUUUUUUUUUUUCAUGAAAGCUAACACUUAGAGGAAGGUUAUGACAUAAAAAUGAGGUUAAGGAGAUUUUCUUGUAUUUUUCUAGAACUUUUGCAAGUGGGCUGCAAAUACCAGUUCUUUAAGCACAAAGCUUGAAAUACGAAAAAAAGUAAGAAAAGAGGGUAACUAUGGAUAAUUUUUCAUUUCUAUUAUGAUGAAAACGUGCUAAAUAAUAUGUAUUUAACUCAAAAUUUUGGAUUGAAGGUGUGCCUAUUGAAAUUAUGUGAGAUAGGUGUAGAAAAAUAUAGCUUUGUACCAGAGAAAGCACAAGUAAGGGUGGAACAAUGCUCAACUCUUUUCAUUUUUAACGAAAGAACACCAUUAGAACACAUCUGAAAAUAAUGUUUAAAACCUCUAAGAAGAUGUAUUUGAAAGAGCUAAAUAAAAGGUACGGUGGUAAUGUGGCUGGCUUGUUAUCUAGAUUGGAUGUUUGCACAAUUUCUCCUCUCCUCCACCACCAAACUGUCUUUUUUUCUUUCUCUCAGCCGUGGGAUUAGUGUGUGAGCGUGUAUGUGUGUUCAACAAGUGGGGGUGACUGUAUAUUUAUAGGGGAAAAAAAUGGUAAAAAGACUAUUUUGCCCUUGGUUCUAAUUCAAUUGAAUAGUGCUUUGAUUUAGUUUGAAUAUAAUGGAAUAAGGGAUGAUUAGGAUCUUAAUUAUGAUCUAGUUAGGCUUAGGUCUAAUUUAAUUCCUUCUAAUUACAAGUACAUGCAUAUAUACCAAGAUUUGUUCUUGUUUCAAAAAACUUUUAGCUUAACUUAACUUUCUCAAAUUAUUGCCAAUAUCAAUAUCAAUUGAUAAAGCUGUCUUUUGCAAUUUUAGUUUGAGUUCAAACUUCUUAGAAUUUGAUUUGGAACCCAGUUUGACUAUGAACCCUACCAACUUUACAUGGCUUAGAUGAAUUAUAAACCCCUCCUUUUGUGUCAAUAAGUUUGUUCCAAAAGCAUAAAUUUGAGGGUAUAGUCUUUUUGCACAGUAUACUACUCACCGGAGUGAAAAAGCAUGGGUUAAAGUUGCAUUUGGUUGUAGAUAAAUAUUCUUUUGACAAUGUUGUCAAUUUCCUAUGAUUUCUAUUUAGAAAAA